rnacentral:rRNA from 1 species
AGAGUUUGAUCCUGGCUCAGGAUGAACGCUAGCGGCAGGCUUAACACAUGCAAGUCGAGGGGCAGCAUGAGACGGAGAUUCGUCGAAGUCUUGAUGGCGACCGGCGCAAGGGUGCGUAACGCGUGAGCAACUUGCCCGUUUCAGGGGGAUAACCGGUGGAAACGCCGACUAAUACCCCAUAGUAUUGAGUUUAGGCAUCUUUACUCAAUUAAAGAAUUUCGGAAACGGAUAGGCUCGCGUGACAUUAGCUGGAUGGCGGGGUAACGGCCCACCAUGGCGACGAUGUCUAGGGGUUCUGAGAGGAAGGUCCCCCACACUGGAACUGAGACACGGUCCAGACUCCUACGGGAGGCAGCAGUGAGGAAUAUUGGUCAAUGGUCUGACGACUGAACCAGCCAUGCCGCGUGAAGGUCACGGCCCUAUGGGUCUUAAACUUCUUUUGUAAGGGAGCAAUAAGUCUUCACCGUGUGGGAUGAUGAGAGUACCUUACGAAUAAGCAUCGGCUAACUCCGUGCCAGCAGCCGCGGU